UUAGUAGAGGCCUCCGGAUUGGUUUAAAGAAGGGGGCAACUCCAUCUUGGAACCGAAAAGCUGGUCAAACUUGGUCAUUUAGAGGAAGUAAAAGUCGUAACAAGGUUUCCGUAGGUGAACCUGCGGAAGGAUCAUUACAGUAUUCUUUUUGCCAGCGCUUAAUUGCGCGGCGAAAAAACCUUACACACAGUGUUUUUUGUUAUUACAAGAACUUUUGCUUUGGUCUGGACUAGAAAUAGUUUGGGCCAGAGGUUUACUGAACUAAACUUCAAUAUUUAUAUUGAAUUGUUAUUUAUUUAAUUGUCAAUUUGUUGAUUAAAUUCAAAAAAUCUUCAAAACUUUCAACAACGGAUCUCUUGGUUCUCGCAUCGAUGAAGAACGCAGCGAAAUGCGAUAAGUAAUAUGAAUUGCAGAUUUUCGUGAAUCAUCGAAUCUUUGAACGCACAUUGCGCCCUCUGGUAUUCCAGAGGGCAUGCCUGUUUGAGCGUCAUUUCUCUCUCAAACCUUCGGGUUUGGUAUUGAGUGAUACUCUUAGUCGAACUAGGCGUUUGCUUGAAAUGUAUUGGCAUGAGUGGUACUGGAUAGUGCUAUAUGACUUUCAAUGUAUUAGGUUUAUCCAACUCGUUGAAUAGUUUAAUGGUAUAUUUCUCGGUAUUCUAGG
rnacentral:rRNA from 1 species